rnacentral:rRNA from 1 species
GAGGCAGGCAGGCGGGGGUACGGGGGGCGGCGCACGCGGUGCGGCCGCCGGCGCGCGGGCGGCGAGGGGCAGAGCGCGGCGACGGGCGGGGGCGGGGGGAGGCGGCGCGUGCACGGGCGGGCGGCGCCGCGGUCGAGGAGGAGGCGAUGCCCGUAGUGCCCCGUCCUGCCCUCGAUGGACUGCCUCGACGAGGAGAGGUUCCCCAUGCUCCACGUGCCGCUACCACCGCGGCCGCGCCCCCGCCCCCGCCAAGCACCACCUCUUCUCGUCGCACUCCCACGACCGCGGCCUCGUGUAGGCCCCGGUGGUGCUGCGGCGGUAGCCGUUGAAGCCCCACGGGCUGAUGCCGCCGUGCGAGUGCCCGCAGCACGAGAUGGGCCUGUUCUUCCGGUGGCCUACGCGGCUCAAGGGCCGGUCCAAGUUCAGGUUCUGGCCGGCGGGGCAGCUGGAGGACGAGCUGGCGCCUCUGUCGUUCUUCUCAUCUAAGUCUGUACCUACGUCAGAUUUUUUUGUCGGUAACGUAAACAACCACGGGUAAAGUAAACUAGGCCUCGAAGGCCCCCGUGCGGGUCUAGGACCUGGCUCAGCUACGGCGUGGGCCUGCUCGCGCACCUCAUGCUCGAGACCUGGUAGUCGUUGCUGCUCACGUCGGGGGCCACGCCGCUCGUCCACCGGAAGCAGGCCUCGAAGGCCCCCGUGCGGGUCUAGGACCUCGCGCCGCCGAUGCGGGCCAAGUGCGGCGUGAUGUAGUGGACAAUGACGGGGCUCCGCAAGGCCGAGUGCGCCGUCACGGUCAGCGUCACGUAGUUGGUGCCGGCCAUGACGCGCGGCCUGGCCCUCCUCCUGAAGCCCCUCCCCAUGCUCCCCUUCGUCCACCACCACCUCUUGGACGCCGUCGACACGCACGUGGCCCACCGCUUGCUCUCGCCCGCCGGCACCCGCACCACCCUGAAGCGGUACCUGAUGUUCGACGCCACGAGGUACUUCCUCUUCUUCAUGUCGUUCCGCACGCGCCUCCUCCACCACCGUAGCGACCCCGAGAGCGACCUCUUCCACGACCGCACGCACCCGCUGGGGCUGCGGCUGCGGCUGUUGCGGCACGACAGGUUCCUCGUCCUCCUGGUCUAGCCCGCGCCCAGUUCCCCCCUGCAGUGGUAGGACGGGUGCGAGCAGUAGUUGCUGCAGGUCAUGUCUCUAUACCGACCGUAUAUACCAUACAACCAUAGGUAGUCACCGUAAAACGUACUGGUAGAACCGUGUAACGUUACCCUUAUAAAUUUGGUCAUGUCAAGACUUAACGAUAAUUGGAUGUAUAACUUUACCACUUAUACAAUCGUGUAUAAAGAGUAUGCACUUCUCGUAGUCAACUUGAUAUCAGGAGACUAAUUUACUUAUUUUACUCACAACCGGACUUCGAAAACGAACAAGUAAGCAUCCUAAGUAGUUCCACAGGUCACUUGACAGAUAAUAAGAACGGAUAAACGAAAAGUCCAUAAUCCGUAAAACAUGACUUCGUUUGAACAGACAAAAGCUAAUACUAUCGUUUGAACAGAAAGACAUAACACACUAUGUAAGACUUAUAUACAAUAGAACCAUAGGUAGUCAUCGUAAAACGUAAUGGUAGAACCGUGUAACGUUACCCCCAUAAAUUUAGUCAUGUCAAGUUUUAACAUCAACCACUUAUACAACCGGGUACAAAGAGUAUGCACUCCUCGCACUCAACUUGAUGUCAGGAUGACAAUUUACUUACUUUACUCUCAGAAACCGGACACAACCGGACUUCGAAAGCGAACAAGUAAACAUACUAGGUAGUUCCACAGGUCAGUUGACAGGUAAGAAGAACGGAUAAACGAAAAGUCCAUAGUCCGUAAAACAGGACUCGUAUUACUCCAGUGAUAGGAACUCAAUUUGUUAACUGUAGUAUAUACUACACUUCGUUACGGGCCACACAUAGACCCGGUAGACCGUUUCCGUUCUCUAUGGGAUGUACUAAGUGUGUUUUAUCCGAAGUCCUGUUCGUAAGACGACGAGCAAGAGAUGGAGACAGUGGGGUCGUGUACCUCACGCCCCUCGCCCCGUGCACAUGCUACCGAAGGAGGUAGGCGACCACCGCUCCGUGUUCCGGCUGUAGCUGGCCAGGUCAACCUCGACUCACGCUCUCACUCCCUGCACUGACACAGCGUUGAGUUCCGCCGCCGACGGCAGUCAGUCCACACCGAGAAGCUCCGAUAGGUUACACAAAGCAGCGUCGACGACCGGCGCUCUAGUCCGGCCCGUCCGCGGCGUGUAACUGCUCAUCAGGUUAAAAGCCUAACCCGGUAUUGUUGAAUGUAUCCAUCAACGAAUACAUUGACACGCUAUCUUACCUUAAUAUGUACUCAACGACGAUGUUCCUCCUUGCAUCAACGAAUACAUUGACACGCUAUCUUACUUUAAUAUGUACUCAACGACGAUGUUACUCCUUGACUUCUUCAAUG